GGAUUGUGGCUCAGUGGUAGAGUGCUUGCCUGGUGUGUGCGAGGCUGCCCUAGGUUCAAUUCUCAGCACCA
rnacentral:tRNA from 1 species